rnacentral:misc_RNA from 1 species
CAACCCUCAAGCCCAGCUUGGUAUUGGGUGUCACCUGGCAAUGGUGCACCUUAAAAUCAGUAGCGGUGCUAUCUGGCUUCAAGCGUAGUAAAACAAUCGCUUUGGAGGUUUGGAUAUGUUGCUUGCUAUCAACCCCUAAUUUAUUCAAA